rnacentral:rRNA from 1 species
AUUGAACGCUGGCGGCAGGCCUAACACAUGCAAGUCGAGCGGAUGAAGGGAGCUUGCUCCUGGAUUCAGCGGCGGACGGGUGAGUAAUGCCUAGGAAUCUGCCUGGUAGUGGGGGAUAACAUCCGGAAACGGGCGCUAAUACCGCAUACGUCCUGAGGGAGAAAGUGGGGGAUCUUCGGACCUCACGCUAUCAGAUGAGCCUAGGUCGGAUUAGCUAGUUGGUGGGGUAAAGGCCUACCAAGGCGACGAUCCGUAACUGGUCUGAGAGGAUGAUCAGUCACACUGGAACUGAGACACGGUCCAGACUCCUACGGGAGGCAGCAGUGGGGAAUAUUGGACAAUGGGCGAAAGCCUGAUCCAGCCAUGCCGCGUGUGUGAAGAAGGUCUUCGGAUUGUAAAGCACUUUAAGUUGGGAGGAAGGGCAGUAAGUCAAUACCUUGCUGUUUUGACGUUACCAACAGAAUAAGCACCGGCUAACUUCGUG